CACUUGGAUGCUGUGGUGACAAGGGCUGCGUUUGUGCCUGAUUUAGGGAGAGCUCUAGCCCCGCAAAGCAGACAUGUUGAAGAACACAUCGUGUAUGACUCUCUUUUAAUUGCCCCCAAAUUUACUGAAGAAAUUGCUAGUAUCUCACUAGCGAUCGAGGCCUCCCAUGGGGUCUGCUCCAAGGCGUGCCGGGCUUGGCUCGCUCUCUGCUCCGUAAGUUAGCCAGGGAAUGAAUUCCAGAUCCCUGCUGUGCUGCUUCUGCUCUUGCAUUUGCAGGAAUCGCAGAAAAAAUAAAGGAUCUGCUAAGGGCUGCUAAACAUGGAUUUGACCCCUUGGGAGGCGUCCGAGCUACAAGUCACUGCAAGGACUGAUGCUGCUGUACAUGCAUAAUGACACAGAAAGCCUAGAGGAUAGUUUUACCAUGCAGCUGACAGAUGGCAAGCGCACAGUCCAAGGGACACUUUACAUCUACAUCAUGCCAGUCAACGAUGAAAUCCCUCAUCUUUCCAGCUUGAAAUAAAAUGAUCCGGAACUGAACUGCACAAAACCUUUUAUCGCGCUGGUGAAAAUGCUGGCCCAGGUGACAAAGAGGGGCAGGAGUGUGGAGCCAUCAUUCACACCAGCAUCAAGGGCCAAGAAGUUUCCGCUUGAGCUGGCUACGGUUCACCUGCAGGAGUACAGUUUAGAUCCUGGUACUACAAUGGUUUUAUCCUGCUUCGUUAAGGCUCUUGUGGCCAUCCUUUUAAAAAGACACAUAGUGGAUUCAGCUUGGAGCAGAGAUCUGUAUGUUCUCUGACCCUGCACGUGAGCUGGGCUGGGGGAAGGCUCUUCUCCACGGCCAUUCCCAGAGGCUGCAGAUCCCUGGGGAGCUUUCUGCGGGAUGCUUCUCAUUACCAACACUAAUUAUGGCCAUGGAGGAAUGGGAGGACAGAAACACAUCCAUGCUGCUCCUGUGCUGGGAUGGGACCCCACUGCCUGUUCCUUCCAACGUGGGACAGUG
rnacentral:lncRNA from 1 species